AGCUCCAAUAGCGUAUAUUAAAGUUGUUGCAGUUAAAAAGCUCGUAGUUGGAUUUCUGGCAGGAGCGACCGGUCAGACACUCUGUGUUUGAAUUUGUGUUGUCUCUGGCCAUCCUUGGGGAGAUCGUGUUUGGCAUUAAGUUGUCGGGCAUGGGAUACCCAUCGUUUACUGUGAAAAAAUUAGAGUGUUUAAAGCAGGCUUAUGCCGUUGAAUAUAUUAGCAUGGAAUAAUAAGAUAGGACUUCGGAACUAUUUUGUUGGUUUGCGUUACGAAGUAAUGAUUAAUAGGGACAGUUGGGGGUAUUCGUAUUUCGUUGUCAGAGGUGAAAUUCUUGGAUUUCCGAAAGACGAACUACUGCGAAAGCAUUUACCAAGGAUGUUUUCAUUA
rnacentral:rRNA from 1 species